UGGGGAAUAAUUCGCAAUGGCGAAAGCCUGACGAUGCGACGCCGCGUGAACGAUGAAGGCCUUCGGGUUGUAACGUUCUGUUGUCCUGGAACAAGAGUGAUCGUCGAAUAGGCGGUCACGAUGAGGGUACAGGAAGAGGAAGCACCGGCUAAUUCCGUGCCAGCAGCUGCGGUAAUACGUAGGGAGCGAGCGUUAUUCGGAAUUACUGGGUGUAAAGGGUAUGUAGGCGGCCCGUCAAGUCGCGUGUCAAAGUCCAGUGCUCAACGCUGGGUGUGCGCGCGAUACUGACGGGCUUGAGGGCUGGAGAGGUGAGCGGAAUUCCCGGUGUAGUGGUAAAAUACGUAGAGAUCGGGAGGAACACCAGCGGCGCAGGCGGCUCACUAGACAGUUUCUGACGCUAAGAUACGAAAGCGUGGGGAGCAAACA
rnacentral:rRNA from 1 species